GACGAACGCUGGCGGCGUGCUUAACACAUGCAAGUCGAACGGAAAGGCCCUGCUUGCAGGGUACUCGAGUGGCGAACGGGUGAGUAACACGUGGGUGAUCUGCCCUGCACUUCGGGAUAAGCCUGGGAAACUGGGUCUAAUACCGGAUAGGAGCCAUAUUUAGUGUGAUGGUUGGAAAGUUUUUUCGGUGUAGGAUGAGCUCGCGGCCUAUCAGCUUGUUGGUGGGGUAAUGGCCUACCAAGGCGGCGGCGGGUAGCCGGCCUGAGAGGGUGGACGGCCACAUUGGCACUGAGGGACGGCCCAGACUCCUACGGGAGGCAGCAGUGGGGAAUAUUGCACAAUGGGCGCAAGCCUGAUGCAGCGGCGCCGCGUGGGGGAUGACGGCCUUCGGGUUGUAAACUCCUUUCGCUAGGGACGAAGCUUUUUGUGACGGUACCUAGAUAAGAAGCACCGGCUAACUACGUG
rnacentral:rRNA from 1 species